rnacentral:rRNA from 1 species
UACAUGCAAGUCGAGCGAAGUUUUCUGGUGCUUGCACUAGAAAAACUUAGCGGCGAACGGGUGAGUAACACGUAAAGAACCUGCCUCAUAGACGGGGACAACUAUUGGAAACGAUAGCUAAUACCGGAUAACAGCAUAGAUCGCAUGAUAUAUGUUUAAAAGUUGGUUUCGGCUAACACUAUGAGAUGGCUUUGCGGUGCAUUAGCUAGUUGGUGGGGUAAAGGCCUACCAAGGCGACGAUGCAUAGCCGACCUGAGAGGGUGAUCGGCCACACUGGGACUGAGACACGGCCCAGACUCCUACGGGAGGCAGCAGUAGGGAAUCUUCCGCAAUGGGCGAAAGCCUGACGGAGCAACGCCGCGUGAGUGAAGAAGGAUUUCGGUUCGUAAAGCUCUGUUGUUAGGGAAGAAUGAUUGUAUAGUAACUAUAUACAGUAGAGACGGUACCUAACCAGAAAGCCACGGCUAACUACGUGCCAGCAGCCGCGGUAAUACGUAGGUGGCAAGCGUUGUCCGGAAUUAUUGGGCGUAAAGCGCGCGCAGGUGGUUUAAUAAGUCUGAUGUGAAAGCCCACGGCUCAACCGUGGAGGGUCAUUGGAAACUGUUAAACUUGAGUGCAGGAGAGAAAAGUGGAAUUCCUAGUGUAGCGGUGAAAUGCGUAGAGAUUAGGAGGAACACCAGUGGCGAAGGCGGCUUUUUGGCCUG